UGAACAAGUGACUCAAAGCCUUUUAUGUUCAUAGGUGUGGACUUAAUCUCCAUUUCUGACAAAAUCCUGUCAGAUAGAGCACAUCUUAGACAAAUAAAUCAUUUUACACCUUUUCCUUUCAAAAAAGAAUUUGGGAAAUCAAAGGGCAAAUGAUUGAUUGCUCUAGUUUAUACUACUUCACAUAUCAUCAUAUUUGCGGGCAGGAAUCUGA
rnacentral:misc_RNA from 1 species